rnacentral:rRNA from 1 species
AACACAUGCAAGUCGAGCGGUAACAGAAAAGAAGCUUGCUUCUUUUGCUGACGAGCGGCGGACGGGUGAGUAAUGCCUGGGAAUAUACCCUGAUGUGGGGGAUAACUAUUGGAAACGAUAGCUAAUACCGCAUAAUCUCUUCGGAGCAAAGAGGGGGACCUUCGGGCCUCUCGCGUCAGGAUUAGCCCAGGUGGGAUUAGCUAGUUGGUGGGGUAAUGGCUCACCAAGGCGACGAUCCCUAGCUGGUCUGAGAGGAUGAUCAGCCACACUGGAACUGAGACACGGUCCAGACUCCUACGGGAGGCAGCAGUGGGGAAUAUUGCACAAUGGGGGAAACCCUGAUGCAGCCAUGCCGCGUGUAUGAAGAAGGCCUUCGGGUUGUAAAGUACUUUCAGUUGUGAGGAAGGCGUUGGAGUUAAUAGCUUCAGCGCUUGACGUUAGCAACAGAAGAAGCACCGGCUAACUCCGUGCCAGCAGCCGCGGUAAUACGGAGGGUGCGAGCGUUAAUCGGAAUUACUGGGCGUAAAGCGCAUGCAGGCGGUCUGUUAAGCAAGAUGUGAAAGCCCGGGGCUCAACCUCGGAACAGCAUUUUGAACUGGCAGACUAGAGUCUUGUAGAGGGGGGUAGAAUUUCAGGUGUAGCGGUGAAAUGCGUAGAGAUCUGAAGAAUACCAGUGGCGAAAGCGGCCCCCUGGACAAAGACUGACGCUCAGAUGCGAAAGCGUGGGGAGCAAACAGGAUUGGAUACCCUGGUAGUCCACGCCGUAA